CCGCAGGGGCAGUGUGCAGGCUAGGGUGUGGCGCGGCGUGGUGCAGGCAUGGCUGCGGUGCGAGGGCUGUUUUGUGCGCUGGAAUGGCGAUGGUGGGGCGCGAAGCUGCGGCGACGGCGGCGCACGGAGCGACACCGAGUUGAGAAUAUGCAAUUUCUAAGGCAAUUUAUGCUACACCGGCUAGCAUUUUUUUUAUAAAACUCAUAAGCAUUUCUAUUAGGUUAGUUAGGUCUUUUCAGUCUAGUAUAGACAUUUUAAUGAUGGUUCUCAGUAACUACGGAGGCAAUAAUAUUGGUUUCCAGUAAGCAGUAUUAUUAUUCUAUCUAGGUAAAAUAACACAGUUCAUUAAGCAAUUUUGUUGAGCAUCUUACGAUUCACUUUUUUUGUUAUUUUAUGUUGUGUUUAAGCAGUUUUGGUGAAUCAAGUAGGAGAAUAUGGUGGAGAGCUUGAGUGGGAUAAAAUGCACAGCCGCACAAGAAAGGAAGAUGCAAAAAGCAAAUUUACUAGAAUAGAAAACUGGUUCUAGAAAAGUGAACCACUAGAAAUAGUUGAUCAUCUGGGCUGCCCUCCAUUGCUGAUGUUUUUUUGGAAUUUGUUGAUUUUUUCAUCAGUGCACUGAUCAGUGGGCGGCAGGGGAGAUCCCCUAUGCGUAGGCAUCCUGUGUGUGGUGCGCCGAAGCAUGCAGCAUGUUAAGAAGUUUCAUUCUGAGUGGAAUAAGAGUGAUUCAAAGGACUAGGUGAGAGAUGCAGUGUGGAGUGAAAUCAGAACCCUAGGGAGGCAGUGCACAAGUAAGGUGCAACCAAUAUAGAGAUUUGGAUCUACCCCCCAAAUCUUGAGGUCUUCCUACCGGUUGCCACAACACAGGUGCCAUGCCAGGCAACUCCCAUGGUGAGAUGUCUUAUGCAUCUCUCCAUCCGUUUGACACCAUUCUUGUCUUUUCUAUUGUCUAGGCAUUUUAUGCCAUAAUUAUAUUCUCUUUGGUAAUCCAUGAUUCACCCAUGUCAACUUUUGCCAAAUCAAGUAAUUUGUUAAUUUUAGUUUAGCAUUUUUUGCAUUAUGAUUCUAGCAUUUUUCCAAUGUUCCUACUCAUCAUGUUUUGGAUUUUAUAUAGGCAGCUUAUGCUUAAAUGAACAGGCAAAUUAUUCAAUUUAGUUUAGCAUUUUUUGUGUUCUGAUUUUAGCAAUUUCAUGUGUAUAUUGCUACAAGUGAAAUGGAUAUAUCACUUUGAUUCUCGCACCAUCAUUUUGGUGAUUAAUAUUAUUAACUGGCUUUAUAUCCCAAUCCAUCGUGCAUUAAUAUUGACAUGUACUGAUUGAUUGGGUUCUAGUUAAUUUAAUUGCAUGAGAUUUUCCCAAAUAGAUGCAUGCCAUGUGAUGUUCAGUUCUAAUGAAUUGAGGUUGUCGUCUGUUUUGUCACAUAGCUUAUUUCCUACUUAUUACAUGGUAGGCAAAGGCAUCAUACUAGACAAAUAAACCAUCCUGCGAUUCUGAAGUUUUAAAAUAUGAUUGAAAGAUCAUGCCCAUCCUGUGAUUGUGAAUGUUUCAUUUUUGUGAUAUGGACAAGCUAUGUGAUGUGUUCAUGGCAUGAACUAAUAGUCUUCCUUAUUUACUUUUAUUUUGCAGCCCCACUUUUAGAUUAAAUUUGCAUUGGACCAUCUCCUUUUUAGUGCAUUCAUUUUCUGCAUGGUUGUUAGCAUUUUUCAGCAUGGAUGAUAGUUUUUUAUCUAGCAGUUCUGAAACUAGCUGCACACAUGUUUAUCAUUAGCAUUUUAAUAAAUUUCAAUAGGCAUUUAAAUAAUAUCCAACUAGCAUUUCAAAUGUUCACAUGAAGUAAUUUAGAAAAUUUUUAUGCUUUUCGCCAGGUAGUAUAUAAGCGUUGCAUGCAACCUUUUUUCCUUAAUAGGCAAUAAUAUGAUUCUGGAUUAUGUAAAAACAAUACAUUUCAGUAGGCAACACUAUAUUUCUGCAUUAUAGAAUAAUAUGGUUCUUGGUAGAUAAAACAAUGUAUUUCAUUAGGUAAUCUUUUAUCAAGCAUUUUUCAUAAUUCCUUUUUUUAUUAAUUGUCUUAAGUACACAUACAACUAUUAUCACUUGUAGUAGAUAUUAUCUCUCCCUACCACUAUGUUCAAUCAGCAUUCAACAACCUGCAAUGUAACAACUCAUUAAAGAAAGCUUUAUGAAGCUGUGAGCAUUUGUUUUUGCUUUGGUGCCACAACUCAUAUUUGCAAUUCUUUUAGUGUAUACAGUUAAAGCAUGUUUCUUGUAGGGAAUUCUGACAAUUGAUUUCAUCCAUUUGCACCAAUUCUGUUCUUAUGAGCAACUAGGCACUUUUUCUAAGUGUUUCUAGUUAUGGUGCACAAACUUUCUUGAAUCCGGUAAGCAUAUUGUUCCCAUUUAGGCUAAUCUACUGUUUCAGUUAGGCUAUUUCUACUUUUUUAUUUGAUAAAUAACUGGUUCCAAUAAGAAAAUUAUACCUUCUCAAUAAUUCUAUUUUUCACUUUUAAAUUAGUCAAAUAUAUUGUCCCUAGUUAAAUCGUUGAGGUUGGGACCUGGUGGCGCGCUAUGUUGAGGCAAUAGCUUGCAGUGCGAUGUGGCUUGGUGCAGAUCAAAAAGGACGGACAUCAGCAUCAGUAGCGCCAUGAUCCUGCCAGCAGUUUUUGGUCAGCAUCGAUUUUAAGAUGUUUUCAGCCCAGAUUUUUCUCCGUUUUGUUCAAUCAAAUAGUCACCCUCCAGAAGUGGAGUGCUCAACGUCGAUUGGAUUCAUGCACAGCUUCAUAGCAGCUACUGUAGCCAUAUGACUGUGGAGGAAAUUAUGACCUGUUUUUGUUUGUCUCGUCCCACUUGUUUUUGUUUGUUUUGACAUUUUUUUGUUAGUGUUGCAUGCUAACUGAUUUGGGCCCUUUUUUUUGUUGUCGCAUGGCACGUCAUGAAAGGUGCUUACCAGUUAUGCAAGUACGAAGCACUAGAAACAAGCAUUUCUGAUUGUAUAUGAGUCAAGAAUAGCUAGUUUUCUCUGUGUGUUCUUGAUUUUAGGGAGGAUGGGAGGCAAAUCUGUUUGUAUAAAGAGCAUAUUACAAACCAAAUUGUUAGGUUUAUGAUCUUUUUGUAGUUCAGAAUAUUAUCUUGUAAUCAUAUAUACAUUCAGGAAAAAAUGCAUGUUUCGUUCAUGCAGUUUUCUAUUUUUUGAA